rnacentral:rRNA from 1 species
GACGAACGCUGGCGGCGUGCUUAACACAUGCAAGUCGAGCGAUGAAGUUUCUUCGGAAAUGGAUUAGCGGCGAACGGGUGAGGAACACGUGAAGAAUCUGCCCUCCACUUUGGGAUAAAACAGGGAAACCUGUGCUAAUACCGAAUAUUGAAACAUAAGUGGCAUCACUGAGUUUUGAAAGAAUUUCGGUGGAGGAUGACUUCGCGGCCUAUCAGCUAGUUGAUGAGGUAAUGGCUCACCAAGGCAACGACGGGUAGCCGGCCUGAGAGGGCGACCGGCCACACUGGGACUAAGACACGGCGCCGACUCCCACGGGAGGCAGCAGUGGGGAAUAUUGGGCAAUGGAGGAAACUCUGACCCAGCGACGCCGCGUGCGGGAUGAAGGCCUUCGGGUUGUAAACCGCUGUCAGUAGGGAAGAAGCGAAAGUGACGGUACCUACAAAAGAAGCACCGGCUAACUAUGUGCCAGCAGCCGCAGUAA